rnacentral:lncRNA from 1 species
AGGUAUUUUGCCUGAAAAUUGAGACAACAGAUAUUACUAAUAUAUAUAUAUAGAGAGAGAGAGAGCUAUUCUUUUAGUUAGUAUAUAUAUAUAUAUAUGUAAAUUAUGUUUUGUAGUGGCUUUCUCUCCACAGAACAUUCAGAAGUUUGCCAUCUCAACAAUUUUCUUUUUUUUUUUUUCAAACCACAAUCAUGGGCUUCCUCUUGCACAACGUGGAGAAAUAUUAUUAAGUUUACACCACAUUUUACCUCAUAGUAAUUUUGUGUGAACAUAAUGCUCAUACUACUUGGUGUAAUGUUAUUAGUGAGUAGUUUAGAAGUAUGAAAAACGGGACAGACUGUAUAUUUUUACAUUUUAUUUAAUAUUUUCCUGAUUAACAGGCUGGCUAUUCUAGUUCACCAGCUGCAAAAGCCCUGGAAUUUGUGGUGGUCUGAGCUAGUCUUUUUUAAACAGGACCAUCUAUUUCUAAUUCUUUUGUUUUCUGCUCAAUGUUGUCCUCGAGUGUAUUUUAAUGAGCGCUGCUUUCCCUCUAGCACUCCAUCCCUGGUGGGCUGCAUCUCCAGCGUGCUUUUAAUCCAGAGUGUCUUGAUGCAAAGAGACUCCAGCAGAGUAAAUCUUCAUUCUAAUUUGGUCAAGUCUUAUGGUGUUGCGUUUCACUCGGCCUGCGAUCCCAAGUGGCUAUUCAACAGUGUAGAGCAAAGUCACCGUCCUUCUCUUGGCUCAAUGCUCAGUGCCUUUUUCUCUGAGGGUGACAAUAAAGAGAGCAUUCUUUUUGUCAAACUGUACAGUAAAUAUGUUAUUAUGAAAAUUAUAUUUUUGAAAGCAAAUGUUAGUUAUACGUGAACAUAGGUACCAUAAUAGCAUAAUUACACACACUUGCACUCUCUUCUGACGAUUACAUCUUUGACUUGGAAACGGUUUAUUGGAGAAGUAACCAGUGACCGGUGGAGGUCUCCUAUUCGAUUCUUUCAAUCUGGUUCAAGUUCACAUCAGCAAGCAGCUUUUAUCUGGCCAGUAAUCUCUCAAUUCCCUGGACGGCCAAUGCGUUAUGAUUGCAUGUUCACGCCGCUCAUGGAAUAAGCUAAACAUGAGCAGGCAGAUCUCUGUUGAUAUCAAAUGUUAAGUUGUUUACCAUGAUAAAUCUGGAACUGCUUUAGCAUUCAGUUUUUAAUAAUACUAGCACUAGGCAGUCUUUAUUUAGAUAUUAUGAAGUUAAUCCUAAGGCUAUUUUAGCAUUUAAACAUGUAUGAAGGAAGAUUUCAGUGCACUCUACCUGUCAAGUAGAGAUGUACCCGUGAGCCUUCUGAAAGAAGUCGAUCAAAGAAAUUAUUUUAUGAGGUUCUAGGUAACAUUAUUAGCAAUGUUUACCUGAGCAUCACCCUCCAGUAUCGCCAUAAAACUUGGAAAACGAUGACUGAUGCUUUAAUAAAUACCUAAAUAGGUCUAUCAGACAUGUGCAUCAGAGAUAGGUUGCCAUCUUCUGGAUUCCUUGCAAAACUUCACCAGACCCGCAGAUGAUGUUUCUGUCAUUUCCUCACCUGACCUGUGCUGUAAUUAAUGUUUUGACAAGUGAGGUAAGUAUUUGUCUUGAAAUAAUUAUAUUAAGAGAGCCAAACAGAGGAAGGAGGUACAGAGGCACUAAUAUUUCUCUGUGUAGCUCCAUUCGGUACCUCAGUGCCCAGUGAAUCAUACUGUGGGUGGACUUUAAUUAGCAUCGCUCGCGCUGGAGUGCAGCCGUCAGCCGGUGACGAGUGGAACAGGCCAGG